rfam:Parabacteroides distasonis ATCC 8503, complete genome.
AAAAGGAACAUUGAGAAUAGGCAACAGGAGGUUGCGCCUUCUCAAGAUGAUCCUUACGAGGGUUCACAGAAGAACUACAAGGUAAGAAUGUAGUUUGGUCCUUUU